GGCGGUUAUGGAGGCAGUUUCGGUGGAGGCGGCGGAUGGAAAGGCGGUGGCGGAGGUGGCUGGUGGUAAUAACCCUACGUCUUCAAGAAAGCUUUAACACAGCACCAAGGUUUUUAUAUCGCACCAAAUUGUCAACGUAUCAGAAGCACAAGGCGAAAAAUCAAAGACUUACAUCAUCGGGAAACAGUGUCAGAAACAAGAGACAGAUGCAAUACGAAUUACUUAAGUAGGCCUGAUGUUUAUCGCCUCCCUUCCCACGCACCUAACCUCAAAAAAUAAAAUCCACUUUAUUUUGAAAAGUAUAAACGACAUUAUAUUUUAUGUAUUUGCAAAUAAUUUUAUAUUAUUGUGAUGUAAAUAAUAAAUAUUUUAAUAUAAAAUAUA